rnacentral:rRNA from 1 species
GACUGAGCGGGAACGGGUGAGUAACGCGUGAGCAAUCUACCUUAGUUACAGGGAUAGCCCGAGGAAACUCGGAUUAAUACCUGAUAUUCUUUAUUUCUCGCAUGAGAAUAAAAGGAAAGGUCAGCCGAACUAAGAUGAGCUCGCGUUCUAUCAGCUAGUUGGUGAGGUAAAAGCUUACCAAGGCUACGACGGAUAGCUGGUCUGAGAGGACGAUCAGCCACACUGGGACUGAGACACGGCCCAAACUCCUACGGGAGGCUGCAGCAGGGAAUAUUGUGCAAUGAACGAAAGUUUGACACAGCGACACCGCGUGUGGCAUGACGGAUCUAGGUUUGUAAACCACUUUCAGGAGGGAAGAAAAUGACGGUACCUCCCAAGAAGCCCCGGCCAACUACAUGCCACCCACCCGCGGUAAUACCGUAGGGGGCGAGCCGUUGUCCCGGAUUUUAUUUGGGCGUAAAGAGCUCGUAAGGCGGUUUCACCAAGUCGGUAGUAAA